rnacentral:rRNA from 1 species
CCUACGGGAGGCAGCAGUGGGGAAUAUUGGGCAAUGGGCGCAAGCCUGAACCAGCAACGCCGCGUGAAGGAAAAAGGCUCUCGGGGUGGAAACUUCUUUUAGUAGGGAAGAGCAGAAGACGGUACCUCUCGAAUAAGCCACGGCGAACUACGUGCCAGCAGCCGCGGUAAUACGGAGGUGGCAAGCGUUGUCCGGAUUUACUGGGUGUAAAGGGCGUGUAGCCGGGCUGAGAAGUCAGAUGUGAAAUCCGGGGGCUCAACCCCCGAACUGCCUUUGAAACUGUUGGUCUUGAGUAUCGGAGCGGCAGGCGGAAUUCCUAGUGUAGCGGUGAAAUGCGUAGAUAUUA